ensembl:lncRNA
GGCAGAGAGAGAGAGAGAGAGAGAGAGAGAGAGGGGGAAGGCAGAGAGAGAGAGGGGGAAGGCAGAGAGAGAGGCGGAAGGCAGAGAGAGAGGGGGGGAAGGCAGAGAGAGAGAGAGGGAAGGCAGAGAGAGAGAGAGGGAAGGCAGAGAGAGAGGGAAGGCAGAGAGAGAGGGAAGGCAGAGAGAGAGAGGGAAGGCAUAGAGAGAGAGAGAGAGAGAGAGGGGAAGGCAUAGAGAGAGAGAGAGAGAGAGAGAGAGAGAGAGGGGAAGGCAUAGAGAGAGAGAGAGAGAGAGAGAGAGAGAGAGAGAGAGAGAGAGAGAGAGAGAGAGGGAGACAGAUAGAGAGAGAGAGAGAGAGAGAGAGAGAG